GGGGGGGGGGGGGGGGGGGCGGGGGGGGGGCGGGGCGGGGGGGGGGGCGGGGCGUGGGGGGGGUGCUCGGGGGGGGGGCGGGGGGGGGGCACGUGGGGAGCCUGCCCUUGACUUUGGGGGGGCUUCAGGGAACUGGGGCUACUACCGGAUCGGAGCUCCUGCUGCAUGGUGGGGGUUGGAAAGUUUCGGCGGGUGGGGAUGGACUCGCGGCUUACCAGCUUGUUGGUGGGGUAGUGGCUUACCAAGGCUGUGACGGGUAGCCGGCCUGAGAGGGGGACCGGGCACAUGGGGACUGAGAUACGGCGCAGAGGCCAACGGGAGGCAGCAGGGGGGAAUAUGGCACAAUGGGCGGAAGCCUGAGGCAGCGACGCCGCGUGCGGGAUGACGGCCUGCGGGGUGUAAACCGCUUUCGCCUGUGACGAAGCGUGAGUGACGGUAAUGGGUAAAGAAGCACCGGCUAACUACGUG
rnacentral:rRNA from 1 species